AAUCUAACAGCCCUUUCUUCCUCUGUCAAUGGAGCCUCACCCCUAUCGGACGGAUGGUACAUCAAUAAAUUUUUUGCAGUGUAUUUCCAUCCUUCCAAGGUACUCGGCGGCUGAUCGGAAGUCCCAUAACCAUCAGUUAUUCUAUCUCUCUUCACAUCCUCAAUUGACUUCACAUCCUCCUUUUCACCCUCCGUCAAAUAAGCGUAUCUCUCCUUCCUCUUCCUAUUAUCUUUCUCCAGAAUUCUUGAAAAACUAAAAUUAUCCUCGCUCGUAUAUUGCCUAAAAAACUCAUCAAGCG
rnacentral:misc_RNA from 1 species